rnacentral:tRNA from 2 species
GGGGCCAUAGUUCAAUUGGUAGAACACCUGCUUUGCAUGUAGGAAAUUAGGAGUUCAAAUCUCCUUGGCUCCA